AAAAAAAAUAAAAAGAAGAUAGUAAUCAACAGAAAUUAAAUCCAGAAGACAGCAAUCAAAAACCAACAAUUAACCUAGAAAAAACAACAUGCAACAGUCAACAUAAUUAAAUCCAAAAAACCAACAAUUAACUCCCAAAAAUAAAACUAAAGCAGUGUAUGGAUUGAGGCUUACAACUCAGAAAUUCAGUAACUCAAAAUAAGCAGAAAUUAAUAGACUCAGAAUCAGAAAUAAAAAAAACCAAAUAAAAGUGACUCCGGCAUAGAGGGGAUCGAAGACAGAGGCUUGAUGUGCGCGAGAGAGAGAAAGAUCGACGAUGAGGAUAGAGACACGAUUUUAGGGUGGCCGACGACGACGAGGACAGAGGCGGCGACGCUAACAGCAGCUCCGAGCAUACCUGGCGAUGCGAGGUGAAGGGAUCUAGGAGAAGAGGAUAGCGACGGCGGGGCUUGACGCUGGCUAAGGAGAAGAGUUCGUCUGUGACGGCGGCGUUGGCCGUUGGCUGCUGCUGCUGGCUGUUUGGGAGAGAGAGAGAGAGGCUGCUAGGGUUUCUUCUGUGCGAGAAAAGAGAGAGAGCGAGAGGCUGGGUAGGU
rnacentral:lncRNA from 1 species